UAAGGAGAUGGUUAUUGGUUGCAUUGUUUAUGUUUGUAAAUUGCAAUGUCUCCUAGUUCACCUGUGUUUGUUUUUAUUGAUGAGCAAUAAUUUAUUAAAAUAACAGUUAAAAACAGUAAAAAAUAUUAUUGUAGUGAAAUUUGAAAAAGUAUGGCAUCUUAAAAAUGAAUUCACAACCAGAGCUGCUUACCAAUCCUAGCAUUUAUGCUAAAAACUUUCCAAAAUUCGGCCGCCCAGAAAUUAUAGGUUAUAUAGGAUUAGAAAACCUUAAAUAUGCAAGAAAGAUUUCUAAUACAACCGUAAAUUUCGAUCUUAAUUUACUAGUAGAAGAAGCGCAAAGGAAACCACCUGAACAUGAUGUAAAGUUGAAUGACUUAAUUCAGUUCUUGUCCAACAAUGAGAAACGAUUGAAUUUGAGAACUCCAAACAAGCUCGAUUCUGCUACAAUAUUUUGCUAUCGGGGCUUAAUGACCUGCGUCGCCAACUCGCCUUAUGAAAAUGACCCUUGGAUUAUUGUGGCGUUAUUAUUUAAGGGAAAUAUAUAUUUAUGUGCACGAGACACCGAAGUCAAGAAGUUACAGAAAAAAAUUAUGAAUGAAAGGGAUAAAUUAUUUACAUCUUGGGGAUUCAAGUUUGAACAGUAUAUUCUGUCUGAUAAACCCCAUGUAAAACCAAAUCCAAAUGUGCCUAAUAAUGAAAUGGAGGAGUUUUCAUGUGUUUUUAAGACAACACUAAACAGUCAUAAAAUUAUAUAUGGAGCUGAAAUGGAUGGUAUUCGAUGUGAUAAAAAAGAAGUUCCCGAAGCGCCUAAGACAGUUGAUGAUGUCUUACAUUAUUUACAAGACAAAGAAUUCAUAGAGCUUAAAACAAAUCGACAUUUAGAAUUUCCUCAUCAACAAAGAAGUUAUAGACGGUAUAAGACCAGAAAAUGGUGGUGCCAAUCAUUUCUUGUUGGAAUAGAUACGAUAUUGUGUGGUUUUAGGAAUGAUAAUGGUAUUGUUGAGAAUUUACAAACUAUCAAUGUUAAAGAUCUCCCAAAAAUGUCAAAGGAAUAUUGGGACCCAAAUGUUUGCUUCAACUUUUUGGAUACGUUCUUUGUAUAUGUGAAAAGAUGUUUCAACCGAGAAAUGAGACGUAAAUAUGGCGAUAAAGAUUUGGAUCUAAAAAGUGUGCCAUUAAUGAGUUUGAUGUUUGAGCUUGUGCCCAACAAGUGCGUUCAAUGCAUUAACUAUACUCAUGAAGAUGACCCAAUUCUUCCCGAUUGGUUUCUCACGACGUUUGGGAAACACCAAGAAAUAUGAAAAUGCCAAUAGAAAUAACCUUUUAUAUAUAAGGACAUGUUAAUUAUUAUUAUUUGUAUUAUAAUACUAGCUGGCCUGGCGAACAUCGUACCGCCUAACAGUCGA